CUCCUUUUGCUGCCCCAAAAGUCUUCUCCCUUACCUUAUUUUCUUGGCUGCAUCAGAUCAAAAAGUCCAGCCCCUCUUUCCCUGCUCUUUUCCUUGUUCUUUGUUUCUUUCUUCUCCCCUUCUUACACGGCAGCACUCCCUCUCUCACCAAAACAAAAUAUCCCUCUCUAAAGAAGAAAUUAAAGGGUUAACACUAAAAUUUCAGCUUCAAAUUGUUGGGGGUGGCGAGAACGAUAACACGGACACUUGAGCUCCUCUUGUACAAUCUCUCGCGCCUUCUGUUUUCAGUGCACAGGUUUUCUUGGAAGCAGCGAGAGUAUUAGAGGUGCCUGAUUCUGUGUUUUCUUGUUUGUUAGAAUGUAGAGUUUUGUCUUAUAGCAGUUAGCUUUUUUGUUAUAUAAGAGGAAUCAAGAUGUACUUGAUCCUUUGAAUACAGAUGUAAUUCGGUACCUUAGGUUUGUAAUAAGAGUUUUGCUAAACAUUUAGUUAUGUAAUAUUUACACGAAUACCUUAAGUUUCAGCCAGGUGGUAUUUUUCCAAGUUCGAAGGAAAUGAAAUUUCAAGGUUGCCAUCAUUUUU